GGCACCAUGGGGAGCCACAUGGCACCAUGGGGAGUAACAUUGGGCACCAUGGGGAGUAACAUUGGGCACCAUGGGGAGCCACAUGGCACCAUGGGGAGCCACAUGGCACCAUGGGGAGUAACAUUGGGCACCAUGGGGAGUAACAUUGGGCACCAUGGGGAGCCACAUGGCACCAUGGGGAGCCACAUGGCACCAUGGGGAGUAACAUUGGGCACCAUGGGGAGUAACAUUGGGCACCAUGGGGUGCCACAUGGCAGCACGGGGUGCCACAUGGCAGCACGGGGUGCCACAUGGCAGCACGGGGUGCACCGCGCGAGAGGAAGAGGCUGCAUUUGACCUUUUUGAGGCAAAUCACCUCUGACCCCCAACAAUCAAAAUAUCCAUUUCAAGCAGCAGUUGGAUCAGAAGAUGAAUUCCACCUUCAUAUCAGUCUGUUAAAUAUCAAUUGGCAGCUAGCAGCCAGCUAGCUUAGCGGCUUCUUUUACUUGUUUUUAUCCUGGAUAGUAAACAAGCUGCUGGCUUUUUUUUAUAUUUAGAGAUGAAACAUUGAUAAAGCAGAUUUCCCGAGAGGGCAAACUAUUAUUUUUCAGUCAGUGAGACGUUUGCAGCUAAAGUGAAGUGGUACCUUUCCAUAAACCUGCUGUCCUCUCGUUAGAGCGGCACCAUGUAAAGGACGAUGUCUGAUCUCUGCCCGUCCUGUAGGGGACUUCUCCUGGCGCGCGGGCGCAGAGCGGACCCCCGGCGUGACCCCGGCGCUGCUGCUACUGCCCACCGCGUCGCCCGUGCUGCCCGGAGGCCUGGACGAGGACGAGGAGGGGAUGGAGGACGCGGAGGAGGACAUCCAGGCCACGGUGGCGCGCCUGUCCGAGGCCUUCGCGGCGCUGCGCUCCGUCCUCACGCCGCUCUUCUUCCGCGGCCUCCUGGCCUUCCUGACGUGGUGGGUGGCGGCCUGCCAGGUCAUCAGCUCCCUGUUCGGCAUCUACUUCCACCAGUACCUCAUGCAGAACUAACCGAGGACGCCGCCACGGGACCCUUACUCACAACACGCAGCUACCGAGGGAACAACAGGGGGCUACUGCAGUUACACAAGUACACAGCGAACUGGGGCCGGUGUCACAAAGCUGGUUAUUGUCCGGCUCAGAUCAGCUACACUCACAUGAAAGAGCUUUUUAUUAGUCACUUAAUGACCGCUGGAUUCAUUUCCUUUAUGGAUGAGUGCAACACUUCGAUGCUUUUUACAUGUUCACCAGUCUAG
ensembl:lncRNA